rnacentral:ncRNA from 1 species
GGUCAUGAGCGUCAGCGACAAGCCCUGGCUUGCUGACCGGCAACCCUCGCUCGGCGGUGGGGUGCCCCAGGUGACGACCGGACCGGAUGACGUUUUUUGUGGCAGACGCUUCGGUAAGCGCGAGGG